CAAAAUUCAUUGACGAGAACGAGUACGUUAUAGGACUGUUCCCUAGAGAGUUGGCAUUUUGCUGCAAGCCAAUGUUCAGUGCAUAACCGAAAAUCAUCUCCGAGAAGUAGAACUGAAAGAAAUAGUAAGUUCUUACCGGCUGUCCUCCGUUACAAGGAACACGUAUCAUGUUGUACGUUGCAAAGCCGUAUACAGAUAGAUAUUUUUCUACAUGUAUAAAUUAGGGUGGUAUCGCGGGUAAUAUAACUCGUCCCUUUA
rnacentral:ncRNA from 1 species